UACGUAGGCAGCAAGCGUUGUUCGGAAUUACUGGGCGUAAAGAGUGUGUAGGCGGUGCUCCAAGUCUGGUGUGAAAUCUCCCGGCCUAACUGGGAGGGUGCAUUAGAAACUGGAAUGCUAGAGGAUGGGAGAGGUAAGCGGAAUUCCUGGUGUAGCGGUGAAAUGCGUAGAUAUCAGGAGGAACACCUGUGGUGUAGACAGCUUACUGGACCAUUUCUGACGCUGAGACACGAAAGCGUGGGUAGCAAACAGG
rnacentral:rRNA from 1 species